rnacentral:rRNA from 1 species
AAAUUGAAGAGUUUGAUCAUGGCUCAGAUUGAACGCUGGCGGCAGGCCUAACACAUGCAAGUCGAACGGUAACAGGGAUCAGCUUGCUGAUUCGCUGACGAGUGGCGGACGGGUGAGUAAUGUCUGGGAAACUGCCUGAUGGAGGGGGAUAACUACUGGAAACGGUAGCUAAUACCGCAUAACGUCGCAAGACCAAAGAGGGGGACCUUCGGGCCUCUUGCCAUCGGAUGUGCCCAGAUGGGAUUAGCUAGUAGGUGGGGUAACGGCUCACCUAGGCGACGAUCCCUAGCUGGUCUGAGAGGAUGACCAGCCACACUGGAACUGAGACACGGUCCAGACUCCUACGGGAGGCAGCAGUGGGGAAUAUUGCACAAUGGGCGCAAGCCUGAUGCAGCCAUGCCGCGUGUAUGAAGAAGGCCUUCGGGUUGUAAAGUACUUUCAGCGGGGAGGAAGGGAGUAAAGUUAAUACCUUUGCUCAUUGACGUUACCCGCAGAAGAAGCACCGGCUAACUCCGUGCCAGCAGCCGCGGUAAUACGGAGGGUGCAAGCGUUAAUCGGAAUUACU